ACACGACUACAUUAGAUACCCGCGUAGUCCCAGCCGUAAACGAUGCGCGUUAGGUGUAUCGACGACCACGAGUCGUCGAGGUGCCGAAGGGAAACCGUGAAACGUGCCGCCUGGGAAGUACGGUCGCAAGGCUGAGACUUAAAGGAAUUGGCGGGGAGCACCACAACAGGUGGAGCCUGCGGUUUAAUUGGACUCAACGCCGGAAAUCUCACCGGAUAAGACAGCAGAAUGAUUGCCGGGCUGAAGACUCCGCAUGACUAGCUG
rnacentral:rRNA from 1 species